ensembl:lncRNA
UUACAAGGCAAGUUGUAAAAUAUGUCGACGAGUGUUUUCAGUGGCGCACGGUGGGCUGUCUGACAUCAGACAGCAUGCAACAGGAGAGCAACACUGCAGACACGAAAGAUCACAGAAGACCCAAGCGUCAGUGUCACAGUUCUUCAUACCCCAAUCAUCUCCUGAGGUUGAUACGAUCCCGAACAAUAGACUCUGGCUAGAGCCGAUAUUCCCUGCCCCUAGGGGCACUGUGGGUUGGGGUGUACGUUGUGUUUUCAGUGUUUCCUGUACACAGAAGAAGAGACCAGGAAAUAAAAGGGGCGAAAACAUGGAGUUCGAGGCGCUCCUCAGCCCGAGGACACGAGGAUUUAUGCCUGGACGCCGACAACCCGGACCGCUCAUCACUACCCGGACCGCUCAUCACUACCCGGACCGCUCAUCACUACCCGCUACCUCCAGAGGACUACGCGACCAGACUUCGCAAGCCAGGAAGGACCUUUCGGGCGUACCGUCGUUUCCCUACAACGCCUGCGAGUCCCGUCAGAAAGGGACGUACUCUAGCGUAAGCGUGAGUGAGUCGGAUUCCGUAACGUCUGAUCACCCUGACGCAUCGUUUUGUCUGUUCUGUCUAGAGGAUCUGGUGCAGGUCUUCUGGUCCGCUCCGGCCUCCGUGACCAGCGAGGGACGGCGCCGGCGGACGGAUCUCCACUCUACAUCCUAGAGCACUGUUUAUUUGGUUUGCUUUGUUUUUCCAACUCGCCGUUUGAGGGACUGGUCUGGCGCGAGUUGGAACGAACGAUUUUAUACUCUUUUACUGUUUGUUGUCUGUUAUAGGGAUAUUUUAUCAACAAGUCUGUCCUCCUUGUAUGGGACCCCUAUAAACCAGGGGGUGGCUACGGCAGGCCCUGUUGGAUACCAGGCUGAAUUGUUCAGCGAGCCCUUCCUUCUGUGUUCUUGAGGUUGGUCCCCCUCACGUGUGUUCAACGUGUGCUGUGUGUAGCGUUCAGCGUGUGCAGUGUGUAGCGUUCAGCGUGUGCAGUGUGUAGCGUCCGAUGUGUGCUGUGUGUAGCGUUCAGCGUGUGCAGUGUGUAGCGUUCAGCGUGUGCAGUGUGUAGAGUUCGAGGUGUGCUGUGUGUAGCGUACAGUGUGUAGCGUUCAGUGUUCGCAGUGUGUAGCGUGCAGUGUGUAGCGUGCAGCGUGUAGCGUUCAGCGUGUAGCGUUCAGCGUGUAGCGUUCAGCGUGUGCAGUGUGCAGAGUUCAACGUGUGCUGUGUCUAUAGGCUUGCAGUGGGGGCAGGGUGUGCAACGUGUGCGGUGUAGUGUGUCGAGGUUGGCUCAUGAAAGUAUGGUUACGGUUAUCCAGAGUACCAGCCUACCCCCUGGCUUUCUCCCUCCCAUAUUAAGUGAUAGGUAGAUUUGACUUACUUGUGCUCUUUGUUUUAUGAAAUUGUAUUAAUAAAGCAUUUCUGUUAAUAAUUGAUCCAUCGACUGCUGUUGUGGUAUUUGGGGGAAUCCUUAGUUAGGGGUUUGCGCGACACCUGUCUCUGCAUCCCACAGACUGGCUGUCGAUUCAUCCUUGGACUUAUAGACCCCAGCCAGGAUGAGGAGCCCCAAAUACGCAUCUAAAUGUGUUUUGUCCAGCUCCUUCCACUUCUCCCCAAAAACACGCCUCCCUCAUAGAUUAGUAAUUUCCAGAAUGAUUUUCUG